GUCACAUCACAUUGACACACCAGUCUCCAUAUGAUCACUGAAGUUAAGCAAUGUUGAGCCAGGUCAGUACCAAGAUGAGUGACAACUUGGAAAUACCAGAUGCUGUAAG